rnacentral:lncRNA from 1 species
GCUUUUCUAACUUUGUGCCCUUCUGCCUUUACUUUUUAUGCAAGUUUUCAAAGAAACAAUUUUAUAGUGAACCUGGUUUAUUCAGCGCAUUAUGUUUGUAUUUAACGAAAGCUUCUUUUUCCCCCCAAAUAAUAUAUUUUACCAAUUUUGGAUUUAUACAAAUCAAAAAUAAAUACUUUGUCAUAUACUUUUGAACUCUAUAUAUGAAAGUUUAAAUAACUUUUGAAGAUUGUUUCUGACUUCUAUUGUUUUAACCUGAGGGUGAUAAGAUUACAUAUUAAUUUUCUACCUAUGUUAUGUGUUAAUUCCCAUACCCUGUAUAAUGACCGUUGAGUGCAAUUCAGAUAUCUGUGUCAUUAAAAAUAAU